CAAUUUUUGAAGAUUUGGGAAAAAAGGUUUAAUUAUUUGCACUGAUUUAGGUAAGAGGAUACAUGAUUUAAGAUCUACCAGAUGAGGGAGAUUUUGUCCCAUGGAUCUGAAAAGCAGGCUCAUAUACUACUGAGGCAACCUAAUCAGGGGCCUGUUAGAACAUUCCUGUCAGAAUAUCAUGUUCUUACACUGAGAAUAUUUUACAUCCUUGUGCUAUGACAGGACUCUGAUUUGGUCUUGUGUGAAGUGCGAUUUCCUUAAUGUGACCUGCUCUUCUUAAUUUGUUUACAGAUGAUCAAAAAGAUCACGAUGAAGAACAAAAAUACAGAGACAGCAAAAAUAAACUUGUUAUGAGUCAAGUGGCCUACUACCUGGCCUGCCGGCUGAGGAUGAAAGGUGAGUUCUUCCCUGGCUUUCUGUAUUGUUACCCAAACAUCAGCAGGGUGGAUUCCGGUAAACUUCCUUCCAGAAAAGACCCAGAGGUGAACGUUCCAGAAACCAUUGAGAAAUCCUGCUCCCAGCGGGAAGAUAACAAACCAGAUGUUGGAGUCCGCCGAAAUAGAUGUUUUCUGAGUGAGGUGGACUACUCCCUGAACUACAGGCUGAGGGCAUACGGUGAGUUCCACAGGUUCACCUCCACAAAAGUGAUGAACGAUGUCCUGCCCCGUCACGAGAAACUGACCGCUCUCUUCGUCAAAGUUAAUCUCGUCUUUCCCAUGGGCCUAGAAAAUAGAAAUGGGUGUUUUACCAUUUGGUUAAAGAUGGAAGACAGAGGCCAGAGUGUUUAGCAACUUUUCCACGUCUGCAGUAAGGUGGGUGUGGGACUGGGGUCACAGUCCCAGCCAUGGGGUUUCUGACGCAGGUGCGGAACCACCUGUUUUUCUCAGCAAGAGACUGAAUCCGUGUUUACAGGAAUCCUCUCUGUACAGUACAAGAUCCUGCAGAGAAGUAGCAUCUAGUCUGUUGGUCCAAAUGUCUGAGGCUGCUGACCUUGCACGUGGUUUUGGUUUCGGCUGAGGCCCAGCAGGCAAAGCUGUGUGUGGGGGGGACCCUGGGGGAAACACAGCGAUAGCAGACAGUACCUCCUGUGAGGAACUGAAAGGGGAUCUUGCUCCUGAGAGUAGAACCUGUCGAAUGUGUAAGUGGCCCCAUCAAGAGCAGGAAGUACCCUGGUACCGGUGCCUCAGCCUCCCAAUUAGCUGGUAUUUCCGGUGGGCACCACCACGCCUGGCUACUGUUUGUGUUUGAUUUAGAGGCGGGGUUUCUCCACGUUGGCCACGCUGAUCUCGAACUCCUGAGGUCAAGGGAUCUGCCCUUUCAGACCUCCUAAAGUGCUGGGAGUCCAGGCAUGAGCCACCAUGCUGGCUCCACAGAUUCUUUUUUUAAGUAGAGCUUGUUAAAAAAUACAUCCGUCGGUCCAGUCUCCUGUAUACAUUUCUCUAACCCUUCGUUGGCCGUGAUACCGGAUGAGCUAGAUGAGUAUUGCAGCAACCCUUCUGGAAAGCAGUCAGGGGAAGUUUUGAAGAUUUUGGGGUAAAAGUUUUAAUCGUCUGCACUGACUUAAGUCAGAGGAUAUGGGAUCGAGAUCUACAAGAUGAGACAGAUUUUGUCCCAUGGAUGUAAAAAGCAGGCUCAUCUGCUUCUGAGGCAACCAAAUCUAGGGCCCCGUGAGAACAUUCCCAUCAUAGUAUCGCAUUCUUCCAUUGAGACUAUUUUACGUUCUUUUGCUUUGACAGGACACUGGCUUGUUCUAGUUUAAAGUGAGAAUUGCUGAAUGUGACCUGCUCU
rnacentral:lncRNA from 13 species